rnacentral:rRNA from 1 species
AUUGAACGCUGGCGGCAGGCCUAACACAUGCAAGUCGAACGAGUGGGGGAGGGGUGUGUAAUGUCGGGGAAACUGCGCGAUCGAGGGGGAAAACUAGUGGAAACGGUAGCUAAUACCGCAAACUAUGGUAUCUGCCCAGGUGGGAUGAGCUAGUAGGUGGGGUAACGGCUCACCUAGGCGACGAUCCCUAGCUGGUCUGAGAGGAUGAUCAGCCACACUGGGACUGAGACACGGUCCAGACUCCUACGGGAGGCAGCAGUGGGGAAUAUUGCACAAUGGGCGCAAGCCUGAUGCAGCCAGGCCGCGUGUAUGAAGAAGGCCUUCGGGUUGUAAAGUACUUUCAGUCGGGAGGCGUUACCCGCAGAAGAAGCACCGGCUAACUCCGUGCCAGCAGCCGCGGUAAUUC